CACGAAGGGGGCUAGCGUUGUUCGGAAUUACUGGGCGUAAAGCGCGCGCAGGCGGUCCUUCAAGUCAGAGGUGAAAGCCCAGAGCUCAACUCUGGAACGGCCUUUGAAACUAGAGGACUUGGGUACGGGAGAGGUGAGUGGAAUUCCGAGUGUAGAGGUGAAAUUCGUAGAUAUUCGGAAGAACACCAGUGGCGAAGGCGGCUCACUGGCCCGUUACCGACGCUCAGGCGCGACAGCGUGGGGAGCAAACAGG
rnacentral:rRNA from 1 species